AUGAAUAAAAAUGAAAAACAAACAAACAAAUCCGAUGUGAUAAUAGAAAGUUGUGAAAACUCCAAAACAUCUUUAUUAAGUCUAGAUAUAUGGACAGUUGAAAAAAUAUUAAAAAAGUUAACAACUAAUAUAUUAAAAAAUUUAAUAAAAACAUUAGACAACGAAAAUAAAAAUAAAAAUAUGAAUAUUUUGGCUUCUUACAAAAAUAAUUCUUUAUUAAAUAUACAACAUCUUUCAAUAUUUUUAUAUAGUUUAUCAAAUAUGAAUAUAUGGUAUGUAAAAAAUGAAUUAAAAAUAGAGCUAUAUAAUAUUAUUGUUUCUAUACUAGAAAAACAGUUAAAACUUGAUUUUUUUUUUGAUCAAAAAAAUAGUUUUUUUAAAUAUAUAGAUAACGAAGUUUUUCAAAAAUGGUAUAACAUAUUGGUAUCAUUAAGUAAUAUUAAUUAUGCAAUUAAUAAAAUUGACAGUGGAAAUAGUUUGAAUAGUGUUUGUAAUUAUACUAACGAAAAAGUAUCACUUUACUCUUAUUUAUAUUUUUAUAAUAUGUAUAAAAAAAUAUAUACAGUUUAUAAACAAACUACUGAUAAAAAUCACUUUUUUAAUACAAUUGAAAAAAUCAAUGAACGAAUUUUAUCAAUAUAUAAUUGGACAAUUACAUAUACAAAUAUUGCGUAUAUGCCUUUGUUUAGUUUAAUAAAUUAUAAUUAUUUAUAUAUAUUAUAUAAAAACAAUAAUUUAAAUAUAUUUAUAUUUUUAAAAAAAGUAUUAUUACCAAUAACUGUAUAUAAUCAAAUAACUAUUAAUCAAUUACGAUUAAUAUUAAAAUUAAUAAUUUAUAAUUAUUUAUCAAAUAUUAACAAACAAAAUAAAUCGAAACAAUAUGAUGAUAUGACUAUUAACAAUCAUGAUGAUAUUUUAACUUGUAUUUAUAGCUUAUGUUUAAUAAGUACAAACAUAAGUUAUAAUUUGAAGGAUGUAAGAGAUUUUAAAACAAAUAUAUAUCAUGAUAUAAAACGGGUGAGCGACUAUAAAAAAAAAUAG
rnacentral:lncRNA from 1 species